rnacentral:rRNA from 1 species
AUACGGAGGUUCCAAGCGUUGUUCGGAGUUACUGGGCGUAAAGGGGGCGCAGGCGGCUCGGUAAGUCCAAAGUAGAAGCCCUGGGCUCAACCCAGGAAGGCCUUUGGAUACUGCCGAGCUUGAGUACGCGAGAGGAAAGCGGAAUUCAGGGUGUAGCGGUGAAAUGCUUAGAUAUCCUGAGGAACACCGGUGGCGAAAGCGGCUUUCUGGCGCAGUACUGAUGCUCAGGCCCGAAAGCGUGGGGAGCAAACAGGAUUAGAUACCCUGGUAGUCCACGCUGUAAACGUUGUGCACUAGGUGUGGGAGGCUUCAAACCCCUUCCGUGCCGCAGCUAACGCAGUAAGUGCACCGCCUGGGGAGUACGCUCGCAAGAGUGAA